ensembl:miRNA
UGGGUCUUUGCGGGCGAGAUGAGGGUGUCGGAUCAACUGGCCUACAAAGUCCCAGU